GGUGCAGCUCAGUGGUAGAGCAUUGGCUUAACAUGAACAAGGUCCUAGGUUCAAUCCCAGCACCA
rnacentral:tRNA from 1 species